GGUCACUGCUAUUGGGAUUCGACUAAGCCAUGCGAGUCGUGAGGGUUCGGCCCUCGGCAGACGGCUCAGUAACACGUAGAUAAUUUGCCCUUAGGUGGAGGAUACCCUCGGGAAACUGAGAAUAAUACUCCAUAGAUCUAGACUGCUGGAAUGCUUUUAGAUUGAAAGAUUUAUCGCCUAAGGAUAAGUCUGCGGACUAUCAGGUAGUAGUCAGGGUAAAUACCUGACUAGCCUAUGACGGAUACGGGUAGUGAGAGCUUUAGCCCGGAGAUGAUAUCUGAGACACGAUAUCAGGCCCUACGGGGCGCAGCAGGCGCGAAAACUUCGCACUGUGCGAAAGCACGACGAGGGGAUCCCAAGUGCUGGCUCGUAAGAGUCAGCUGUUUCUCUGUCUAAAAAACAGGGAGAGUAAGAGCUGGGUAAGACGGGUGCCAGCCGCCGCGGUAAUACCUGCAGCUCAAGUGGUGGCCGCUAUUAUUGGGCCUAAAACGUCCGUAGCCGGUUCUAUAAAUGCCUGGGUAAAUCGUACGGCUUAACCGUACGAAUUCCGGGUAGACUGUUUAACUUGGGACCGGGAGAGGCUAGAGGUACUCCUGGGGUAGAGGUGAAAUUCUGUAAUCCUAGGGGGACCACCAGUGGCGAAGGCGUCUAGCUAGAACGGGUCUGACGGUGAGGGACGAAGCCCUGGGGAGCAAACGGGAUUAGAUACCCCGGUAGUCCAGGGUGUAAACGCUGCUCGCUU
rnacentral:rRNA from 1 species